rnacentral:lncRNA from 1 species
AGCCCCCGCGCAUCUCUGUGGCAGCUGCCCCGUGCUUCCCGCCCCGCCGCGCCCGCCCACCCAAUGGCGCUGUGUCCCGCCGGUAGCUCAGCGCGGACUUCCUUUAUGUGGUACAGGGUUGGGCCUGGAGACCCGGAGGCCGGCGAGGUCCUGGCUGGGAGAGGCCGCCGCUGCCUUCAGGUUCCCGAGACAGUGGAGACUCUGAGAACAUCCAGAAAUAUCCACAGGACUGGAGAGGCUGUGGGCUUUCAACCACCACGAGGGGCUGUUUGCAUAUGAUUCUUCUAAAAUUGACAUCAGUGAAAUGCCUUGAAGAUAAUAAAGUGUUGAAGAAAUAAACAAAAUCAGAAUAUAUGGGAUCAGUUAGAAAGCUCUUAUUUAAGAAACAUGGAGGAAAUGAGAGCAAGCAAUGAAGUAAUGUUACAAAAUGACAUAUUUGAGUAGUUCAUACUGGUGGAAUUUUCCUGGCACUCUCAUGAGUUGA